CAAGAGUGGAUCCGCUCGUAUUUAGGAAUUACAUGUAAUCCUUCCCAUCUAAAAAUUCAUGAUGCAACCCAAGAAUGUCAUACAUUGGUCGUUCAUGACAACUUCAAACGACCUUCGAUGGCUGUUCUGCUUGUUGUGUUCGAUUUGUAUCGACCUCUCGAAUCCUCUGUCUUUUAUAUAUUUCUAAAAAUAUGCCGCUCGGUUGACCCGAAAGGGUAAUUUCGGUAUUUUGAUAAAAUUGUGCCAAUCUGUUAAGAAUUGGAAAAAUCCAAGAGUACCGGGGCCUCCGGGAGGUCGAAAGGAGUCCAACGCAACCGACGGUGCGCAAAUCCGAUGUCGUAUGGGGAAAUAAACGUCCUGCAAGCGUUCGAAAAAUUGCCGAUUGAUGUGCGCGGUUGAUUUAAAAGUCGAUUUUGGAGCACAAAAAAGCGUUUUUUUGAAAUUUCCAAGGGGCUGGGGCUCCUCCGGAACCCCGCCACCCCAUUCGUCUCGAAAAGUUAUGCGGAUUCAAAAAAAAAAUCAUCCGAAUCGGACACCCGAGGGCAAAGUUAUUGCCCUUCAAAGUUCAAACCACCAACACAAACCCUCUCGCGUCAAGUGCUGGUCCGCGCUCAACCAACAGGAACAGCCAAUGGACAAAAGUACCCUCCCCAACAAUCCAGCUCAGGAGAUUUUCGAGGGCAUUAUUGUAAAAACGUACAUAUGGAACUAUUAAAAGGCGUUAUACUUCCUCCGUUCAUUCUUAUGCUCAUCCACCCACGCCAAAACGUGAACUUCUCCUCUCUCUGCUGUCUAUUUGUAAGAAGCGCCGCCAUGCUUACGAGUCGGACAAUUCCAGAUUCUGUUCAGACCGUUUCCAGGUUCCCUAUUGCACACUAAAAGGAUGACCAUCACGUGACUGCUUCAACAAAACAAAUGCCCUUAUCCUCAUAUUUGCACUGAUAAAAGAAAGGGUUCUUUUCUCUCCCAAUUUCCAGGAGCAAGCCGACGCAUUGCAACUUAUCAAAAUUGAAGAGGGAUGAAAAUCCAUGUUUCUAUUCCACUCUUCCACUCUCCAGGUUGUUGGUUUGCGGUGGAAGCAUGAAUUUGAUCUUUAAUUUUCAUCAAUUGCAAUAGAGAUUUGGGUACUUUCAAAUUUGGUUGAUAUAUCACUUUGGAGAUGAAAUUUCUAGCUGGAAUCUAGUAGGGUAGAAAAUGACAAUAUGGAGGCCUCGCUGCAGCAGGUAGACCAACUUGAGUGUGAUUUAGGCGUUCUAUUCUUUCAAGCUUUGGUCAAGGUGUCUAAACUCAUGAAGUGUCUGGCAAGGAGUUAAAAGGUUUCUUUCAUUUCUUUUCUUCUAAUGUUUUCAAUAAAUGGGCUUUUAAGCCGUCGUCGAUUACGAAAUAGGGAAAUGAAAACAGAAGAGCAAAAAGAAGAAAAGGAGAACUAAUCAAUUUUCUGGAAGGAGAAACGGAGGGAAGAAGGCAAUGGCAAAGAAAGAGAUUUUCAGGGCAAAGAAAGAGAUUUUCAGGCUUUUAUAAACUUAGUUUUCUUUUAAUUUUAUGAAUUCAAUAAUAUUUUUGAUUAUGUUUCGGAACUAAUUUUCCUUAGCUAGGGCUACGUUGUAGCCUUGACUAUGAAUGCUUAAAUUAUGAAUUGAAUUAUUUUCAAGUUUUCAA